GGCAUAAACACCGAUGACCGAAAACCAAAACCGAAAAGACCGAAACCGAUUAGAUGUUUGGGUAGAAAAAUUUAUAGACCGAAUUUUAUUCUAGUAAUUCGGGUGUCAAUUGAGAAAAGACCGAAAGACCGAAUAGGACCGAACGUCAUAAAAAACAACCCAUUCUCCUAACCCAACCUAGGCGCCAACCACUCCCUAUGCAAAAAUGACGGCACAACAGAGGC
rnacentral:lncRNA from 1 species